rnacentral:rRNA from 1 species
AUGCCCCUGCCCGUUCCCACCUCCCGCCUCCUCGCCGCCAUCUCCGCUGCCGCGUCCUCGACUGCAGACCUCCGCCGCCUCUCCCACCUCCUCCUCACCCCCUACACCCCACUCCCCCCGCUCCGCUGCCUCAAUACCCUCCUCAUGGCCCUCGCCCGCCACCGCAUGCUCCCGGACAUGGAGUCCUUCGCAUCCCGCAUGCCCGCGCGCAACCUUCGCACGUACACCACCCUUAUCAAUGCCUACUGCCUCGCCGGCGACCUCCCUGCUGCCAAGCGGCAUCUUGCCUCCCUACUCCGCGCUGGUCUUGCGCCGGACUCUCAUGCGUAUACCUCAUUUGUUCUCGGAUAUUGUCGGGCCGGGCUGCUUUCGCACGCCUGCCGGGUGUUCGUGCUAAUGCCGCUCCGAGGAUGUGCACGCACUGUGUUCACGUACACUGCGCUGCUCCAUGGGCUGUGUGGCGCCGGUAUGGUGCGUGAGGCUGUGGCAGUGUUUGCUGGGAUGCGGGCAGACGGGUGCGCCCCUGACACACAUGUGUAUGCCACGAUGGUGCAUGGACUGUGUGGGACGGGGCGAACUGGUGAGGCAGAGGUUCUUCUCGCGGAGGCAAUGGCUGAGGGUUUUGAGCCAAAUGUGGUCGUCUACAAUGCCCUGAUUGAUGGCUACUGCAAUGCUGGGGACCUGGAGCUCGCGGUUAAGGUUUAUGAGAGGAUGGAUCUUAAGGGGUGCUCAGCGAACGUGCGAACGUAUACUGAGCUGAUAUGUGGGUUCUGCAAAUCUGGCAAGGUGGACAGAGCCAUGGUGCUGUUCAGCCGGAUGGUUGAGGCUGGUUUGGCUCCAAAUGUGGUGACAUACACGGCCUUAAUUCAGGGGCAGUGCAAUAAUGGGCAGUUGGAAUGUGCUUUUAGGAUGCUCCAAUCGAUGGAGGCCACUGAGCUGGUUCCUAGUGAGUGGACUUGCUCGAUGUUGAUUGAUGCUCUGUGCAAACGUGGAAGGGUUGGGGAAGCUCAGUUGUUUCUUGGGUCUCUUAUACAGAAAGGAUACAGAGUGAAUGAGAUUGUCUACACCAGCUUGAUUGAUGGACUGUGCAAGGCAGGAAAGGUUGAUGCUGCUGACAAGUUAAUGCAGAAAUUGGUUUCACAGGGGUUUGUGCUAGACGCUCACACAUACAGUUCACUAAUUGAUGGAUUAUGCAGGCAAAAGGAGUUGUCACAAGCGAUGUUGGUGUUGGAUGAUAUGAUGGUGAAAGGAGUACAACCCAAUGCUGUCACGUAUACCAUUCUAAUUGACGAGCUUGUUAGGGAGCUAGGAUCUGAAGGUUCAAAGAAGAUACUUAAUAAGAUGAUUGCGGCAGGAAUUAAGCCUGAUGUUUUCACCUACACAAUAUUUGUUCGCUCCUACUGUCAUGAGGGAAGGAUGGAAGAUGCUGAACAUAUGAUGGUUGAAAUGGUUGAUCAGGGCAUUUCCCCUAAUUUAGUGACAUAUAACACUUUGAUUAGUGGGUAUGCAAAUUUAGGACUAGCCAGUCAAGCAUUUUCAGUUUUCAAGCACAUGGUUGCUAGUAGGUGCAAGCCAAAUGAGGAGUCCUACACGGCCCUGCUUAGAUUAUUGGUAAAGAAAAAAUCCUCUAAUAAUAUCCUUGCCAGCUCUGUUGAUAUAUGGAAAAUAGCAGAAAUGGAAUAUCUCCAGGAGCUUCUGGAGGAGGUGGUUAAGCUUCAGUUGCUUUCAGACAUUGAAAUUUACAAUUGUUUUCUUAGGUCUUUAUGCCGAGUUGAUAGAUUGGAGGAAACCAAAAUUUUGCUCGGUGAGAUGCAGAGUGCUAACUUGACCCCUGGUGAGGAUGUAUAUACUUCAAUUAUAGGGUGUUGUUGCAGACUAAAAAUGCCAACAGAAGCUUUGACAUUUCUUGAUUCAAUGAUCAAAAGUGGUUAUUUACCACGUAUAGAAUCGUAUAGGCAUAUUAUUUGUUCUCUUUGUGAGGAGGGAAGUAUUAAGACUGCUAAAAAGGUUUUGGGUGACAUGUUAUUGGAGGAAUACAACUACGAUGAGAUUGUUUGGAAGAUUCUGAUUGAUGGUCUAUUGCGGAAGGGCAAUGCUGCCGAGUGUUUGAUUCUGCUCUCAGUGAUGGAAGAGCAAGAUUAUCGCCCUGGUGAUGCAUUGUAUGCCAAGCUUACAGGGAAGACAAGUCAACACGUGCAACCGGAAGAGAGCGACGGCGCGCGAAACUCACGUAUGACUCAAGAGGCCUCUACGUGGACACAAAGGGGGCCUACCAGCAAUUUUUAA